GUGAACCAGUACCGUGAGGGAAAGGCGAAAAGAACCCCGGCGAGGGGAGUGAAAAAGAACCUGAAACCGUGUACGUACAAGCAGUGGGAGCACAGGUUUACCUGUGUGACUGCGUACCUUUUGUAUAAUGGGUCAGCGACUUAUAUUCUGUAGCAAGGUUAACCGCAUAGGGGAGCCGGAGGGAAACCGAGUCUUAAUUGGGCGUUAAGUUGCAGGGUAUAGACCCGAAACCCGGUGAUCUAGCCAUGGGCAGGUUGAAGGUUGGGUAACACUAACUGGAGGACCGAACC
rnacentral:rRNA from 1 species